AUUGAACGCUGGCGGCAGGCCUAACACAUGCAAGUCGGACGGUAGCACAGAGAGCUUGCUCUUGGGUGACGAGUGGCGGACGGGUGAGUAAUGUCUGGGGAUCUGCCCGAUAGAGGGGGAUAACCACUGGAAACGGUGGCUAAUACCGCAUAACGUCGCAAGACCAAAGAGGGGGACCUUCGGGCCUCUCACUAUCGGAUGAACCCAGAUGGGAUUAGAUAGUAGGCGGGGUAAUGGCCCACCUAGGCGACGAUCCCUAGCUGGUCUGAGAGGAUGACCAGCGACACUGGAACUGAGACACGGUCCAGACUCCGACGGGAGGCAGCAGUGGGGAAGAUUGCACAAUGGGCGAAAGCCUGAUGCAGCCAUGCCGCGUGUAUGAAGAAGGCCUUCGCGUUGUAAAGUACUUUCAGCGGGGAGGAAGGCGGUGCGGUUAAUAACCGUACCGAUUGACGUUACCCGCAGAAGAAGCACCGGCUAACUCCGUGCCAGCCGCCGCAGUAA
rnacentral:rRNA from 1 species